UACAGAGGGUGCGAGCGUUGUUCGGAAUCAUUGGGCGUAAAGCGCUUGUAGGCGGCCUGUCAAGUCGCGUGUGAAAUCCCCUGGCUUAACCAGGGAAUUGCGCUCGAGACUGAAGGGCUCGAGGACGGGAGAGGAUGGUGGAAUUCCCAGUGUAGAGGUGAAAUUCGUAGAUAUUGGGAAGAACACCGGUGGCGAAGGCGGCCAUCUGGACCGUAUCUGACGCUGAGGCGCGAAAGCGUGGGGAGCAAACAGG
rnacentral:rRNA from 1 species